rnacentral:rRNA from 1 species
UGGCGGCGUGCCUAAUACAUGCAAGUCGAGCGGACAGAUGGGAGCUUGCUCCCUGAUGUUAGCGGCGGACGGGUGAGUAACACGUGGGUAACCUGCCUGUAAGACUGGGAUAACUCCGGGAAACCGGGGCUAAUACCGGAUGCUUGUUUGAACCGCAUGGUUCAAACAUAAAAGGUGGCUUCGGCUACCACUUACAGAUGGACCCGCGGCGCAUUAGCUAGUUGGUGAGGUAAUGGCUCACCAAGGCAACGAUGCGUAGCCGACCUGAGAGGGUGAUCGGCCACACUGGGACUGAGACACGGCCCAGACUCCUACGGGAGGCAGCAGUAGGGAAUCUUCCGCAAUGGACGAAAGUCUGACGGAGCAACGCCGCGUGAGUGAUGAAGGUUUUCGGAUCGUAAAGCUCUGUUGUUAGGGAAGAACAAGUACCGUUCGAAUAGGGCGGUACCUUGACGGUACCUAACCAGAAAGCCACGGCUAACUACGUGCCAGCAGCCGCGGUAAUACGUAGGUGGCAAGCGUUGUCCGGAAUUAUUGGGCGUAAAGGGCUCGCAGGCGGUUCCUUAAGUCUGAUGUGAAAGCCCCCGGCUCAACCGGGGAGGGUCAUUGGAAACUGGGGAACUUGAGUGCAGAAGAGGAGAGUGGAAUUCCACGUGUAGCGGUGAAAUGCGUAGAGAUGUGGAGGAACACCAGUGGCGAAGGCGACUCUCUGGUCUGUAACUGACGCUGAGGAGCGAAAGCGUGGGGAGCGAACAGGAUUAGAUACCCUGGUAGUCCACGCCGUAAACGAUGAGUGCUAAGUGUUAGGGGGUUUCCGCCCCUUAGUGCUGCAGCUAACGCAUUAAGCACUCCGCCUGGGGAGUACGGUCGCAAGACUGAUACUCAAAGGAAUUGACGGGGGCCCGCACAACCGCUGGAGCAUGUGGUUUAUUUCGAAGCAACGCGAAGAACCUUACCAGGUCUUGACAUCCUCUGACAAUCUAGAGAUAGGACGUCGCCUUCGGGGGCAGAGUGACACGUGCUGCAUGAGUGUCGUCUGCUCUGUCAUGAGAUGUUGUGUUAAGUCCCGCAACCACCGCAACCCUUGAUCUUAGUUGCCAGCAUUCAAUU